ACUGUUCGUAGCCCGAAGGCACGCCCAACACCUCUUGGAGGUCGUUCCCAAGUUGGGCUGUUCACGCGCGCACACACACACACACACACACACACACGCGCGCCGGGUGCACGCUAAUGGGCCAAUGAAAACAUGCGCAGGGCGAGCGAGGGGGGAAGUGAGUGCUUAAGAAAACAAACAAGAGGCAAUAGGAAGGGGAAAAGGACAAUUUCCACGUCCAAAUAUUAACGCAAUCAAGAGCGAUUAGUGCCUGUGGGACGGCGGGAUGGCUUGUUUGCUGAGUAACUUGGACGACAUUUUCACAGUUGCCUUUUCCUGUUGUUGCGUUGACAGCAAUACAGUCGAGUAACAAAUGGACUCUUGAGCCACUGAGUGAUAUUUUCUGGUUGUUAUUGUUUGGGGGAGUCUGUCUCGUCUGGGUUGACCGGAAGAAAAGAAUUGGGGGGGGGGCGGCAAACAAACAUCAUCUUUUCUGUCUUCAUCUUAACUUUAAGCCAAUCCGCAAAGUCGAUCCAGCUCCGAUGUUCCCCUCAGUUCAAAGCCUGCGGCAUUUCACACCUUUUUACCGUUU